CCUUCAAAAUAAGGGAAUUCUGAUACAUUCUAUAAUUCCACUUAAAAAUGCAUUGUGUGCAUGACUCGUGAUUAACGUCUCUGCGUAAUCAGGACUUGCAACACGCAGAUUGCUCCUAUCUGAU